GUAGUCUCGCACAGAUGCAUAUCAAUAAGCGGAGGAAAAGAAACUAACAAGGAUUCCCCUAGUAACGGCGAGUGAAGCGGGAAGAGCUCAAAUUUGAAAUCUUAAAGGGUUUCCCUUUACGAAUUGUAGUUUAAAGAAGUGUUUUCUGUUGAGGUUUUGGUAAAAGUUCUUUGGAAUAGGACAUCAUAGAGGGUGAGAAUCCCGUAUUUGACCUUUACUUUCAACUUUGUGAUACACUUUCAAAGAGUCGGAUUGUUUGGGAAUGCAGUCCAAAAUGGGUGGUAAAUUUCAUCUAAAGCUAAAUAUUGGCGAGAGACCGAUAGCGAACAAGUACCGUGAGGGAAAGAUGAAAAGAACUUUGAAAAGAGAGUUAAACAGUACGUGAAAUUGUCAAAAGGGAAGCGUUUGACACCAGUGUUGUUUUUCUGAAAAUCAAUUAAAGAACUGUUUAUGCUAAGCUGUUUAGACUUUAUCAGCUAUACUGUUUAGUUUUGAGCUUUUCUUUAAUGCACUUUUCAGUUAACAAGUCAACAUCAAUUUCUUUUGCUGUAAAAAAGCUUGAGGAAGGUGGCUUGAGAUUCGUCUUAAGUGUUUAUAGCCUCUUGCCUAUGCAGUCGGAGAGAUUGAGGUCUGCAGCGUAGAUCCUUCGGGGCUAAAUGCAUUUGUGCUAAGUUAUAGCAUUUUAUAGACAACUUGUUGACUAUGAUUUGUCUUGUAGCUUACUCGCUUAUGUUAUUUUACCUACGCUUAGGAUGUUGAACUACUGAGACAUAGA
rnacentral:rRNA from 1 species